UAAAAAAAAGUGGGGGAAGGAUUACUGAACUUUCAUUUUUUUUUUCUUUCUCUCUCAUUGUCUAUGUCUCUCUCUCUCUCUCUCUCUCUCUCUCUCUCUCUCUCUCUCUCUCUCAUUCUAUCUUUCUAUCUCUCUUUCUCUUUCUCUGUUUCUAUUUUCUUCUUCUUCCUCUUCAUCUUUUUCUCUUUCUCUGGCGUUUCCACGGUGUCCGCGGUUUUGAUUAGAUAGCUCGUCGUUUUUGUAGCAACAGUACUAGCGGCGACAGACUCAAAAAUAGACCGAAGCCUCUCCUCAGUCUGGCACACUACCAACAGUCUAUACUUGGACAUCGCCGCGCCAUGAUUAUUUAUAGCGAGCACGAGCGCGGCCACUGGCCUUCUCGCGAACUAACUAACCGGCACUACGAAGAAGAAGAAGAAGAAGAAGAAGAAGAAGAAGAAGAAGAAGGAAAAGGAAAAGGAAAAGGAAAAGAAAAAGGAAAAGGAGUGGAGGAAGAAGAAGAAGAAGAAGAAGAAGAAGAAGAAGACUGAUCCAUCGCCCGUGACCUAGGCCCGCAUUAAUAAUGACUACAUCCCUGCUUUGAGUUUAAAUUUCAUCUUUCCCGCUUUAUUUCCAGGAUUUGACACCUUCUUUUGUUUUUUCUUUUUUCUUUAACGAAAGAAAGAAACCCGCUAUCGGUUAACGUAGUUUAACGUAAAAAAAUUCGCGAUCAUUAUUCGUAAGUGGUAUGGUAAUGUAAGUAGGUACGUAAAUAAGUGCGAUUAGUAUAAUUUUCUUUUCUGUAUUUUUUCUUUUUGUUCUUUUUUCGUUCGUUUCUUUCUUUUGUUUUUUUUCCUUUUCGUCGUUCAAUUUUUCGUUUUUUAUCGAGUCGAAGUUAGUGUACGUAUCUUUCGAAGAUAUGUAGAACGAUGUGUGUCUAUCUAUUUUUCUAUUUACUUGUCUGUGUUUGUGUAUAUGUAUUAAGAAAUUAGAACGGAACAGAAGGUGGAUAUUAAAACGGUCGAUAUAAUUUUACGUGACUUUGGAACGUCCCAGUUUUAACCUGACUAACUAAAAGAGAAAAUUAUCAUCGAAGUUUAAAUAACGGAAAGAAAAAUGAUAUCUACGAAUAAAGAAAUGGGAAAGUGAGGAAAGAGAAGAAAAAAAAGAAAUGGACGACGACGACGACAAGAAGAAAGAAAAUUCACGAAGAAGAUGUAAGCCGAUUAUAUUAAAAACGUGAUUAAAAAAGAGGAGAAAGAAAAAAGAAAUAAAAAAAAGAAUAAGAACUCGAAACUCGAAAUAUCG